UUUUCCCUUUUUCCCUGGAACAAAGUAUCAGAUUCAUGAGUAAGUUUUAUAAUUUCAUUUAGUUAUAACAGUGCUACCCUCUAUAAAAUUCUUGCAUCCAUCACUGCUUGAGGGUUGUUAUUUGAUGGCUGAUUGUUGUUAUUGAUGCUCUUGAUUAUUCAUAGGCGUGCACGGACAGGAUUAAAGGCGAUGAAACUGGGCAUAAGCACUGCACAGGCCAAACCUAAAAUAUCUAUCAGAUCUAGCACGAAGAGAAUCGGAGCACGAAUAUGGUGAAUCCGUUGAGUACCUGAAGAGCUCAGAUCUAUCAGAUCUAUUCGUUUGACGAUGGCCAGAUCUAUCAGAUCUAUGCGGUGGUGGAGGUGGAGGUCGCGGUGGGGGAGGGUAUGGUGGCGGAGAGGGUUAUAACGGUGGCGGUGGUGGUGGAAGGAGUGCCGGUCGUGGUGGCGGCAGGGGAGGUAACUGAAGAGAUGAAGAAGAAGAUAGAGUGCCUUAUUAAUUAAGGGUAAAAUAGUAAUGGAGUCGCCGGUUAACGUCGUUACUCUUCUUCCCCAAGUCCUCUGCCUCAACUUUCCUUAGUUUUAAUAAAUUGUCUUCCACUUAAUUAGCUACCCUCACUGCAUAGCAGAAUCAAAUGGAGCCUGCAUCUUUAUUUUAAUUUUAAUUUUAAUAUUAGAUUUGACCACCAGAAUUUUAAUAUUAGAUCUCCGCCAGAAUAUUAGAUCUUGGUCAGAUCCGGUGAUAGAGAUGAACGGAGCGCAACAGAUCUGGUCGCAGAGCACAGGAUGGGAUAAAGUAUUAAUUAAGGCAAAAUAGUAAAAUUGUGUCUAUUUUUAAUAUGUAUGAAAAUAUAUAAAACGUCAAUAUAUAAUAGGAAGGAGUAUGUCAAAUAUAAUAGGAUGGAAGGAGUAUGUGAUUUAUCUCUUUACGCACUUUCAUAUAGAAAGUAUAGCUUUAAUCAAUGCAAUUAAUAGACCCGUAAUGCUACUUCUUGUAAUGAAAUCUAUCUAUUUGGUAUCGAUCAUAUAUAUAAUCACUAUAAAUAUUUUUAUUUUAACAAAUUAAAUGAAAGUAAACACUUCAUUUUGAUAUCAUGUCACGACC
rnacentral:lncRNA from 1 species